UUCUGUACCCCAGUUUCCUCAAGUGC
rnacentral:piRNA from 1 species